CUAACCUUCGUCGAAUCGACGAGUACGCCGCACUAAUAUCGCUAUUUCUUUUCGCCACGCGCGCCGAUCACAGAAUCUUCACUUGUCAAUUCAGUAUUCGUCGAGCUCUUCCGGGUGACGACCGCGCCUGGCGGCUUUUACCAUGGCUUCCAAGCGAUGGCUGACUGAGGAUAAUAUAACACAACUGUUAAUGGAUGAGGAAGAUCCCAGUGCGUUAGAGGAGUCAUCGAA